UUUCCGUAGGUGAACCUGCGGAAGGAUCAUUGCACACACGAUGCAGCAAACUAGCGAACUGUGUUUGUCCCCCACCUACCCCAAACACGAGGGGCCGCAUCUGGAGGUGCGGCUGUCGACGGCAAGGUCCCGACCUUCGGGUCCCCGCAGUGGUUCCCGCAAGCGGGCUGAUCAUGUCGCCGUCUGGGUGUCCCGCGCGGGCUCUCGCCUUGCCUUAGGGUUGGGCGACGCGGGCAUUCUCCUCCCUUCGAUGGAGUCGUCCCCUCCUCCGGGAGGGCGACACGCCUCGAGGGCCGUUUACAACGUUGCACCCUGUACAACACCAGUGACUGGGUAUCCCUGUGUCCCGGUUCCGCUGCUGCCCUCGGGCGGGGCGGGAUUGGUCCAUAGGAACAAGAGUAAAUAAAAACAACUCUCAGCAACGGAUAUCUUGGCUCUUGCAUCGAUGAGGAAC
rnacentral:misc_RNA from 1 species